rnacentral:sRNA from 1 species
CAGCCAAGUCUGGGUUCUUUGUAACAGAAGUAAGUGCUCUUAACCUCCAAGCCAACCCUCCUGUGUCUGAAGAACUUCAACUACAAAUCUGAACUCUUGACUAGACAUUUCCGAAUGCAUUGCUUUAUUCAUUAAUCUAACAAGUAUUCAUGGAGCAUAGACCCCAAAUGAAUAAUUUUCCUCAGUUGUAGAAUUUCCACAAAGAAUACAGUGUCGUAGUCCCUAACCUUAUUGACAUUCAACUCUAAUGCUGGGCAAGAGGCAUAGUCUAAGUUGUGGGUUCCCUUCUUUAACUUGCACAAGUACAGAAAUAAAUGCACUUAAGUAGGUCUGAAGUUGGUGAGGCAUACUUAGCAGGAUCUUACAGAGAGGUUACCCCCACCACGAAACAUAGUGUCACAUAAUUCUUUUUGCUUCAACCAAGCUAUUUUGGGUUAUGAAUAGUUAUCUGUUGUGUUCUUCACUGAUAGAUCCAAUAAGAAAGCAGUUCUUCUUCCUCGUGCUCCAGUGGGUGAUGACAUAAUUCUGUAAUGUCAUCUUGGAACCAAAUUAGCUUUCAUCAUUAGAUGUUGUCCUCAUGGUCCCAGGGUAACUACUACAGUUUAACGUUUCCCUUCACACUCACAGACAGAGGUGACGGCAACCAUCUAGCUGCAUCCAUCUUUUGGUACUCUCAAAGGAUCCCUGAAUGUAACAGCAUGACUGGAUUACAUCACAAUGUUUAGUCUACAGAUGCAAACGUUUUGUCUUGAGAAAAUUGUCACUCCUAACAAAAUUAGAAAUCUGUGUGUGGAAGUGGAUGAAACUGGAUUAUUGCAAAACAACUCUGUCAAGUGUGAUGAAUAGGGGCCAUGUGUUGGAGCCAGACCAAUUAGUGAAAUAACUAAUAAUUCCCUGUAAAGUGACAGUCAGGCAAUAAGAAAUUAUCCUCAAAUAAAAUUAGAUUUAUCAGGUGAUGUGAAGGAGUUCAGAGCAAAUGGUACAAAACCCGGCACUAUUUAUGUCCAUUCUAAAGACAUGAUUCAGAUGAAAUCUUAAUGGAGAAUAAAGUGGUAAAAGUAGAGAGGAGGAAGCAAAGACUGUUCUGUCAAGAGGACACGUAUCCUUAUAAGAUAGGAGAACGAUACAUUUUGGGAAAUUCACAGAAGGCAUUUGUGGCUGAAAGAAAGUGGUACAGACAGAUAGGUAAAUUCAAGUUAAUAGGAAACUUCUAAGUUAUAUUGUUAGGAAUUUUUAGGUAGACAUUCUGGAGUUGCAAUGAGACCCUCAAACCUCUUAGAAUGUGAUCAAUGAGUGAAACUUUCCAGUUGCCCCAUUGUUCAUGUAUUCUCAAAAUAAAAUGGUAUAAAUUAAAAAGAUGACCAGGAACUCACUUUACCAUGAGUAGAGCAAUUUCUUGAGACUAACCAAAUGUGAAGAAGACAGUGGCUAAUUCUCCCUGUUGACUAGCUGCUAGUGAGAACUCUGUCUGCUUUAAUUUCUACGGGAGUCAGGUUUUGUUGCAACCAAUACCACAGCACAAGCUGGGAAAGAAGCAACACAGAGACAUAUAAUUAGCUCCAAGUUUUGGAAGUUUCAGGUUGAGUGCUUGUAUCUAGUGAUGGCCUUCUGACGAUCAAACAUGGAGGGAUGCAAAUACACGGAUAUUUCCUCUUUUUGUCUUGAUCUCUUAAAAAAAAAUAGAUUCAAUCCCAGGGGUAUACUUGAAUGAAAUUCUUUAAUACUGUCCUGUUUCUAAAAACCACACUUCUAAACCCACAGUUGGCUAACAUAUUUAUUUUCUCUCUUAGCAUAAUAUUCCAAAAUUGGGAUUGAAUUUCAGUACAUGGAACCUUGGAGGACAUGGGGGCCCUAUCCAAAUCAUAGUGAUUAAGAACCCCACUCCUGGUUGAUUCUAGCAUGGGUUUGGGUCCAAAGAAAAUAUUAGGAGUAACAAUGACACUGAGGAUGAAGAGAAACCCAUGAAACAGUGAGCCGCCACAACUUACGUGUUCUCAUCGAGACCGUUGACAGAAGAACCGCCUCCUUCCAGUGAAUGAAGGGUUUCAAUGUUUGCUGAAAAUAUUGCCCUAAAAGGUAUUACAUUUGCUGACAUAAAAUGGAAGCAUUCUCUUUCUAGUAUUCUCUUUCUAGCAUUCUCUUUCUAGUAUUCUCUUUCUAGCAUUCUCUUUCUAGUAUUCUCUUUCUAGCAUUCUCUUUCUAGUAUUCAAAAUGUAUUUAUUGAGAAACAGAAAACAAAAUUCUGGAUUGUCAGACCUUAAACUCCUUUGUAGGCCAAGAAACUCUGUCUUAGUGUGGGUUGUUUGGUUUUUAAAUAAUCAAAUGAAACUAAACUCAAACUGAUCCAGGUACUCUGUGGCCAUUUAUUUUCUAUUCUAUUCUAUUUCUAUUAUCUAUUUUCUAGGUCAUAGUAAUGUUGACUUCUGCAGCUGAAACAGCCUACCUGGCAGCUGUCUCCUGUCACCCUUGCUAACACACUUUGACUUAUGUCUACUGUCAUCAGGUGAUGUCAGGUCAAUCCUGAUUGACCAGAACGAUUUCAAUACAUUAAUUCAAAUGUAUCAGUGGUUUAAAUUAAAUCCAUUGAACUUAAUUUAAAUUCUUCCACCCACCAAAAUAUUGUCAGAGAACAAAAUCUGAGUCUCUGAUGACAUCAGUAAAUCAAGAGCAGAGUCAUUCUGCUUUGGGAUUCUGUUAGAGAAAAUAAUAGGUAUUCCUUUUUGCUCAAGCUGUUUACUUACAGGUAAAAGUGCGUAAUUAAUAAUUAAAGAGUACACUAAUUUAGAUAGAAACUCAGGAAGUUUAAAAAUACCUAUUUAUUUAGCAAGUACAAAUCUUUCAUAAUUAAAGCUGGGGGAACUAUUGGUGGCUCUUGGGUAAUAGAACAUUAUGAAAUAUGACAGGCCUUUAUUCAAUUAGUCAUUCUAUGUAUCUGAAACCAUGACUCUUUGAGAAAUUGCUUAAUGUCCUUAGCCGCUAGUGUUUUUAUUAGUCCUAUAAAAGGGCAGGGUACAAUAUAGGAUAUUGUUCAUUGACACAAUGGAAUAUUAUUCAGUCAUUAAGAACAAGGACAUCAUGAGUUUUGCAGGCAAAUGGAUGGAACUAGAAAAUACCAUCCUGAGCCAGGUAACUCAGACCCAAAAGGGUAUGCAUUGUAUAUAUUCACGAAUAAGUGGAUAUUAGCCAAACAAAUACAGAAUACCUAAGAUACAAUCCACAGAACUCAAGGUUAACAAGCAGAAGGGCCCAGGUGAGGAUGCUUCAACAACACUUGAGAAGGGGAAGAAAACAAUCAUA